CCUACGGGUGGCAGCAGUGGGGAAUAUUGCACAAUGAGGGGAACCCUGAUGCAGCAACGCCGCGUGGGUGAAGAAGUACUCCGGUAUGUAAAGCUCUGUCUGCAGGGAAGAAAAUGACGGUACCUGACCAAGAAGCCCUGGCUAACUACGUGCCAGCAGCCGCGGUAAUACGUAGGGGGCAAGCGUUAUCCGGAUUUACUGGGUGUAAAGGGCGCGUAGACGGCAAGGCAAGUCUGGAGUGAAAGCCCGUGGCGCAACCGCGGGACUGCAUUGGAAACUGGGUUGCUGGAGUGCAGGAGGGGUAAGCGGAAUUCCUGGUGUAGCGGUGAAAUGCGUAGAAAUUAGGAGGAACACCGGUGGCGAAGGCAGCUUACUGGACUGUAACUGACGUUGAGGCUCGAAGGCGUGGGGAGCAAACAGGAUUAGAUACCCGAGUAGUC
rnacentral:rRNA from 1 species